rnacentral:rRNA from 1 species
UGGGGAAUUUUGGACAAUGGGCGCAAGCCUGAUCCAGCCAUGCCGCGUGAGUGAAGAAGGCCUUCGGGUUGUAAAGCUCUUUCGGACGGAAAGAAAUCGCGCAGGCUAAUACCCUGCGCGGAUGACGGUACCGUCAUAAGAAGCACCGGCUAACUACGUGCCAGCAGCCGCGGUAAUACGUAGGGUGCGAGCGUUAAUCGGAAUUACUGGGCGUAAAGCGUGCGCAGGCGGUUGAUUAAGACAGGCGUGAAAUCCCCGGGCUUAACCUGGGAACUGCGCUUGUGACUGGUCAGCUAGAGUACGGCAGAGGGGGGUGGAAUUCCACGUGUAGCAGUGAAAUGCGUAGAGAUGUGGAGGAACACCGAUGGCGAAGGCAGCCCCCUGGGCCGAUACUGACGCUCAUGCACGAAAGCGUGGGUAGCAAACA